UACGUAGGAUCCAAGCGUUGUCCGGAUUUACUGGGUGUAAAGGGUGCGCAGGCGGGCUUGUGCGUCAGAGGUUAAAUACUUCGGCUCAACCGAAGAAAUGCCUUUGAUACGGCAAGUCUUGAGUGCGAGAGAGGAUGGUGGAAUUCCUGGUGUAGCAGUGAAAUGCGUAGAUAUCAGGAGGAACACCAGUGGUGAAGACGGCCAUCUGGCUCGCAACUGACGCUCAGGCACGAAAGCGUGGGUAG
rnacentral:rRNA from 1 species